UGCCAGCCGCCGCGGUAAUACAGAGGGUGCGAGCGUUAAUCGGAAUUACUGGGCGUAAAGGGUGCGUAGGUGGAUGAAUAAGUAAGGCGUGAAAGCCCUGGGCUCAACCUGGGAAUUGCGUUUUAAACUGUUUAUCUAGAGUGCAGAAGGGGGAAGUGGAAUUUCCGGUGUAGCGGUGAAAUGCGUAGAUAUCGGAAGGAACACCAAUGGCGAAGGCAACUUCCUGGACUGACACUGACACUGAGGCACGAAAGCGUGGGGAGCAAACAGGAUUAGAUA
rnacentral:rRNA from 1 species